rnacentral:lncRNA from 1 species
UGUUCAUCACCACCGUCGCGUUGGACCUCAUUGCGGUCACCACCACGACCAUCAUCACUAUCCUCGUCUGAGCUUACUGAGAGGAGCCUCCGCAUUGACAGAACUGCAGAAACAUGCCCAAAGAAGAUAAUCCCUCUCGGCAACUGUUGUGCAUGGGCUUCUGAAGAUAGCGCAGCUGACACACAGGACUGCCCAUCAGCACUUCCCAGAACCAAGAAGCAGAACGGUGGCCACACAAGACAAGUUCUGUCUUAGGGGUGGCUUGCCUAUCCUUCCCGUUGAUAAGACGCAGUGUGUUUUCCACGGGGAGCCUCCUGAUGUGGAAGCCUGCUUCGCCUUGUCAAGCCAGCGAAGCCAAGUCAAGUUCCCAGCCAUGGUCACCUUUGCAUAGAAUAUCCCCAUCAGUAAGAUAAUACAUUCAGAGGAAGAAAUCACAGUGGUAGGUGUAUUGCCCAGAGUGAGGAACUGGUGGGGACCACAGUGAAGGUUUAGUAAAAGACAGCGACAUUGAACCAGACUCUCACUUGUCCAUAGAGACAGGAAGGGCAAGAAGCGAGGAUGGGAAUAUGGACAAUGAGAGGAGAGAUGAGCUGUCUGGACGUGGCUUCUGAGAACUCAACUCCUGCCUCCAACUCUCUGCCCCUGCAUGGAGACAACUACCCAUUGACCUAUCUGAAGAAUUGGCUGUCACGGGGCCACCCUUUUUCUGUGGCUUUGUCAGACACCAAAAGUCCAACUGUAAUCGGGAAGACCGUGUUCCUGUGUUGAUCUUUUGUAGUCAUUCACACUCUGCCCUUCUCCAUCCUUCUCAGUAAACAGUGUCUUGGCAGUG